rnacentral:rRNA from 1 species
AUUAAACGCUGGCGGCAUGCCUUACACAUGCAAGUCGAACGGCAGCACGGGGGCAACCCUGGUGGCGAGUGGCGAACGGGUGAGUAAAGCAUCGGAACGUGCCCUGGAGUGGGGGAUAACGUAGCGAAAGUUACGCUAAUACCGCAUAUUCUGUGAGCAGGAAAGCAGGGGAUCGCAAGACCUUGCGCUCUGGGAGCGGCCGAUGUCGGAUUAGCUAGUUGGUGGGGUAAAGGCCUACCAAGGCGACGAUCCGUAGCGGGUCUGAGAGGAUGAUCCGCCACACUGGGACUGAGACACGGCCCAGACUCCUACGGGAGGCAGCAGUGGGGAAUUUUACGCAAUGGGCGAAAGCCUGACGUAGCGACACCGCGUGAGCGAAGAAGCCCCUUGGGGUGUAAAGCUCUGUCAGCUGGAACGAAAAAAAUGACGGUACCAGCAGAGGAAGCAUCGGCUAACUACGUGCCAGCAGCCGCGGUAAU